ACGGAUAAAAGGUACUCCGGGGAUAACAGGCUGAUACCGCCCAAGAGUUCAUAUCGACGGCGGUGUUUGGCACCUCGAUGUCGGCUCAUCACAUCCUGGGGCUGAAGUAGGUCCCAAGGGUAUGGCUGUUCGCCAUUUAAAGUGGUACGCGAGCUGGGUUUAGAACGUCGUGAGACAGUUCGGUCCCUAUCUGCCGUGGGCGCUGGAGAACUGAGGGGGGCUGCUCCUAGUACGAGAGGACCGGAGUGGACGCAUCACUGGUGUUCGGGUUGUCAUGCCAAUGGCACUGCCCGGUAGCUAAAUGCGGAAGAGAUAAGUGCUGAAAGCAUCUAAGCACGAAACUUGCCCCGAGAUGAGUUCUCCCUGACCCUUUAAGGUCCUGAAGGAACGUUGAAGACGACGACGUUGAUAGGCCGGGUGUGUAAGCGCAGCGAUGCGUUGAGCUAACCGGUACUAAUGAACCGUGAGGCUUAACCUU
rnacentral:rRNA from 1 species